rfam:Schistosoma rodhaini strain Burundi genome assembly, scaffold: SROB_scaffold0003273
AUCCAGCUCUGGGGUCUCAAAUAGGACAAAACGCGCGUCCUGGAU